rnacentral:lncRNA from 1 species
CGUGCGGUGCGUACAUUUAGCGUCUACUCUUACAUUUAAUAAUAACUGGUUUUUCAAUUUGUUCAAUACGCAUGUGUGUUUUUUUAUGUGUUAAUUUGAACAGAAAAGAUGGGGAUUAGGGAUACAUAGAUGAGAAAUCCCGAAGAAAGUACAUACAGAAAAAUAGCAACGAGUUUAGCGAGGGCAGCAGUAGGAAAAGGGGACGUAAAUUGCGCGUGCGAGUUAUAAAGAGGGUGAAUAUGUAUGUACAACAUGGAGUAGUCGCAUGGAGGUCAACGCGACGCAUGCUCUGAAAUACUUUCCCAGGAUGAUAUUCUUCGGUGAGGUAAACCAGGCAGACCAUUCGAUCGUUACGAGGUGAAUCAGUGACCCAACGUAUUGCGAAGCACGAUUCGGAACAGGUGUAUCGAUUGUUAUAUCGUUCGUGUGAUAUUUUUUUUCUCGCGGAAAUAAAUAACACCACUAUCUUAUUUCAAUCCGUUAUACGUGAGCCGUAUUGAAAUUCAUUAAAAUUGAAUCGAAUAUUGGAAAAUCGAGCAUGGCAAACGAAGUUCAAUAGCCAAUUAUGGCGAGAUGAACAGGAUAUGAAAGGAUAGGGAUAGACAGGAUAUUUAAACCCUUCUGUAAAGCGAAUGCGCACCACCUGUAGCUCGAUAUCUACGUUCGAAAGGUCAACUGCCCCUUUGUCGUCGAGCUUCUCUAGUAGACAGGAAAGAAGGACGGACGAAAAAGAAAAAGAAG